CAGCAGCCGCGGUAAUACGGAGGAUGCAAGCGUUAUCCGGAAUUAUUGGGCGUAAAGCAUCCGCAGGUGGUAGUACAAGUCUGCUGUCAAAGACCAGAGCUUAACUCUGGGCAGGCGGUGGAAACUGUAAUACUAGAGACCGGUAGGGGUAGAGGGAAUUCCCAGUGUAGCGGUGAAAUGCGUAGAGAUUGGGAAGAACACCAGUGGCGAAGGCGCUCUACUGGGCCGGAACUGACACUAAGGGACGAAAGCUAGGGGAGCGAAAGGGAUUAGAUACCCCUGUAGUCCUAGCCGUAAACGAUGGAUACUAGGCGUAGCGUGUAUAAACUCAGGCUGUGCCGUAGCUAACGCGUUAAGUAUCCCGCCUGGGGAGUACGCACGCAAGUGUGAAACUCAAAGGAAUUGACGG
rnacentral:rRNA from 1 species